rnacentral:rRNA from 1 species
UACGUAGGGUGCGAGCGUUGUCCGGAAUUAUUGGGCGUAAAGAGCUCGUAGGCGGUCCGUCACGUCGGGUGUGAAAAUCCAGGGCUCAACCCUGGACCUGCAUCCGAUACGGGCGGACUAGAGUUCGGUAGGGGAGACUGGAAUUCCUGGCGUAGCGGUGAAAUGCGCAGAUAUCAGGAGGAACACCGGUGGCGAAGGCGGGUCUCUGGGCCGAUACUGACGCUGAGGAGCGAAAGCGUGGGGAGCGAACAGG